rnacentral:rRNA from 1 species
UCAAUCUCGUGCGGCUAGAAGCCGCCUGUCCCUCUAAGAAGAUGACGACGCCGGGAGCGUAAAGAUCCCGGCGCCUAGUUAGCAGGUUAGAGUCUCGUUCGUUAU